AACGAACGCUGGCGGCGUGCUUAACACAUGCAAGUCGAACGGAAAGGCCUGCCACCUUGGUGGUGGGUACUCGAGUGGCGAACGGGUGAGUAACACGUGGGUGAUCUGCCCCGCACUGUGGGAUAAGCCUGGGAAACUGGGUCUAAUACCACAUACGACCACACUGUAGACAGUGUGGUGGAAAGCUUUUGCGGUGUGGGAUGAGCCCGCGGCCUAUCAGCUUGUUGGUGGGGUAAUGGCCUACCAAGGCGGCGACGGGUAGCCGGCCUGAGAGGGUGGACGGCCACAUUGGGACUGAGACACGGCCCAGACUCCUACGGGAGGCAGCAGUGGGGAAUAUUGCACAAUGGGCGCAAGCCUGAUGCAGCGACGCCGCGUGGGGGAUGACGGCCUUCGGGUUGUAAACUCCUUUCGCCCGGGACGAAGCCCACCUUAGUGGGUGACGGUACCGUGGAGAAGAAGCACCGGCUAACUACGUGCCAGCAGCCGCGGUAAUACGUAGGGUGCAAGCGUUGUCCGGAUUUACUGGGCGUAAAGAGCUCGUAGGUGGUGUGUCGCGUCGUCUGUGAAAUUCCGGGGCUUAACUCCGGGCGUGCAGGCGAUACGGGCACGACUAGAGUGCUGUAGGGGUAACUGGAAUUCCUGGUGUAGCGGUGAAAUGCGCAGAUAUCAGGAGGAACACCGAUGGCGAAGGCAGGUUACUGGGCAGUUACUGACGCUGAGGAGCGAAAGCAUGGGGAGCGAACA
rnacentral:rRNA from 1 species